rnacentral:rRNA from 1 species
AUACAUGCAGUCGAGGGGUAACAGGGAAGCUUGCUUCCGCUGACGACCGGCGCACGGGUGCGUAACGCGUAUGCAACCUACCUCUUACAGGGGAAUAGCCCGAAGAAGUUCGGAUUAAUACCCCAUAGUAUUACAGAUUCGCAUGAUGAAGUAAUUAGAGAUUUAUCGGUAAGAGAUGGGCAUGCGUCUGAUUAGAUUGUUGGUGAGGUAACGGCUCACCAAGUCGACGAUCAGUAGGGGUUCUGAGAGGAAGAUCCCCCACACUGGCACUGAGAUACGGGCCAGACUCCUACGGGAGGCAGCAGUAGGGAAUAUUGGUCAAUGGAGGCAACUCUGAACCAGCCAUGCCGCGUGUAGGAAGAAUGCCUUCUGGGUUGUAAACUACUUUUAUAUAGGAAGAAAACGCCAUGCGUGGUAAUAUGACGGUACUAUAUGAAUAAGCACCGGCUAACUCCGUGCCAGCAGCCGCGGUAAUACGGAGGGUGCAAGCGUUGUCCGGAUUUAUUGGGUUUAAAGGGUGCGUAGGCGGUUUAUUAAGUCGGAGUUGAAAUCCCACAGCUUAACUGUGGAACUGGCUCCGAUACUGGUUAACUUGAGUAUGGUUGAGGUAGGCGGAAUUUAAGAUGUAGCGGUGAAAUGCAUAGAUAUCUUAAAGAACACCAAUUGCGUAGGCAGCUUACUGGACCAUAACUGACGCUGAGGCACGAAAGCGUGGGUAGCGAAUAGGAUUAGAUACCCUGGUAGUCCACGCCGUAAACGAUGAUUACUCGAUGUCUGCGAUACACUGUAGGCGUCCAAGCGAAA